GAUGAACGCUGGCGGCGUGCCUAAUACAUGCAAGUCGAACGCUUCACUUCGGUGAAGAGUGGCGAACGGGUGAGUAAUACAUAAGUAACCUGGCAUCUACAGGGGGAUAACUGAUGGAAACGUCAGCUAAGACCGCAUAGGUGUAGAGAUCGCAUGAACUCUAUAUGAAAAGUGCUACGGGACUGGUAGAUGAUGGACUUAUGGCGCAUUAGCUUGUUGGUAGGGUAACGGCCUACCAAGGCGACGAUGCGUAGCCGACCUGAGAGGGUGACCGGCCACACUGGGACUGAGACACGGCCCAGACUCCUACGGGAGGCAGCAGUAGGGAAUUUUCGGCAAUGGGGGAAACCCUGACCGAGCAACGCCGCGUGAAGGAAGAAGUAAUUCGUUAUGUAAACUUCUGUCAUAGAGGAAGAACGGUGGAUAUAGGGAAUGAUAUCCAAGUGACGGUACUCUAUAAGAAAGCCACGGCUAACUACGUGCCAGCAGCCGCGGUAAUACGUAGGUGGCGAGCGUUAUCCGGAAUUAUUGGGCGUAAAGAGGGAGCAGGCGGCACUAAGGGUCUGUGGUGAAAGAUCGAAGCUUAACUUCGGUAAGCCAUGGAAACCGUAGAGCUAGAGUGUGUGAGAGGAUCGUGGAAUUCCAUGUGUAGCGGUGAAAUGCGUAGAUAUAUGGAGGAACACCAGUGGCGAAGGCGACGAUCUGGCGCAUAACUGACGCUCAGUCCCGAAAGCGUGGGGAGCAAAUAGGAUUAGAUACCCUAGUAGUCCACGCCGUAAACGAUGAGUACUAAGUGUUGGGUGUCAAAGCUCAGUGCUGCAGUUAACGCAAUAAGUACUCCGCCUGAGUAGUACGUUCGCAAGAAUGAAACUCAAAGGAAUUGACGGGGGCCCGCACAAGCGGUGGAGCAUGUAGUUUAAUUCGAAGCAACGCGAAGAACCUUACCAGGUCUUGACAUCGAUCUAAAGGCUCCAGAGAUGGAGAGAUAGCUAUAGAGAAGACAGGUGGUGCAUGGUUGUCGUCAGCUCGUGUCGUGAGAUGUUGGGUUAAGUCCCGCAACGAGCGCAACCCCUGUUGCCAGUUGCCAGCAUUAAGCUGGGGACUCUGGCGAGACUGCCGGUGACAAGCCGGAGGAAGGCGGGGAUGACGUCAAAUCAUCAUGCCCCUUAUGACCUGGGCUACACACGUGCUACAAUGGACAGAGCAGAGGGAAGCGAAGCCGCGAGGUGGAGCGAAACCCAUAAAACUGUUCUCAGUUCGGACUGCAGUCUGCAACUCGACUGCACGAAGAUGGAAUCGCUAGUAAUCGCGAAUCAGCAUGUCGCGGUGAAUACGUUCUCGGGCCU
rnacentral:rRNA from 1 species